AUGACUCCAGAUGGUGAGGUAGGCGUUUAUGUACCAGCCUUGCUCCAGGUUCAGGGCGCUGCCAUACCUUCAGCGCCCCCCCGCCGCAAGCCCAACCCAGAGGCUGUUUAUGGUUUCCCUAAGGUUCCUGGGUCCUCGACAUCAGUCCGGUCUGCAAGCCCCGCCCUGAUUGGCUGCCUCCCGCACCGGGAUGGGGCCUUGCGACACCGCCCACUCUCGGAUGGGUCCGAGGUGAGACCCGCCCUUGUGCCCUCGUGGGCCUUCGGGACAGCGGAGGAGCAGUGUCGGGCCGUGGCCAGGGCCGGCAGGCUGGAGCUGGCCGAGGCUCUGGCGCUGGGGCCAGGCUGGAGGCCUGCCUGCUAUGCGCUCGCCUGCACGCGCCUGACCCUGGGAUUCUCUUUGGCCGCCUCCGCCUGCGCUACGCCAUACUGAUGCAGAUGCGCUUCGAUGGGCGCCUGGGCUUCCCUGGCGGAUUCGUGGACUCGCAGGACAGCAGCCUGGAGGACGUGCUGAACCGUGGUCUGCUGAAACAGCUGGGCGAGGCGGCGGCCGCCUUCUGUGUGGAGCGCCCUGACUGCCGCAGCUCCCACGCUGGAUCAGGGCCACGCGUUGUGGCCCACUUCUAUGCCAAGUCUCUGACUUCUAUGCCAAGUCGGCUGUGGAGUCCAGCGCAACAGGCGCCAAGGACCACGGGCUGGAGGUGCUGGGCCUGGUGCGAGUGCCCCUGUAUACCCUGCGUGAUGGUAUGGGAGGCCUGCCCAUCUUUCUAGAGAAUUGCUUUAUUGGUGCUGCCCGGGAGCAGUUACUGGAUACCCUCCAUGACUUGGGAGUGGUGGAAGCUGGUCUUUCUCAGGCCUUCAGAUCCCAGUUUGUCUGAGGCAUCCCUCUGUGGACUCAGGGAACCUGAGAUGAGGACUUUGGUACAAGGAAGGGAAUGUUUUCUCUUCUGGACCUAAAGAUGAUACCAAAUUAAAAGAAGACAUGUAUAUCAUAUGUUUUGAGCAGAGGACCCUCCAAUUCAUGGGAUCAGGGACAAAAAUCCACAGCUCAUCCCAGGGGCCCUGGCAGGUUCUCAGAGCCUACCUCUUCCUUGUGCAUUUGCAUACAGCCUGGUAACCCCCAGACAUGCAUAUGUACAAUGUGACCACACACAGCCUGACAUCUUUCACCUGUGAGGCUCAAUUUAAGCAGGAAUUGGCAUUUUUUACCAUAGCCUGCCUCUUGCUUUGCAGAGAGCUUCUACAGCAAGGGUGAGUCCUUCCCACAGUCCUCCAUGGCUGCUCUUUAGGGUCUAGCCCAGCCCAUGUUUUUUGGGAAGGAUAGAGAAGCAGAGGACCCUCUUUGCUUUCCUGAAAGUAGCCAUGCCCUUGCUGGAGGGUUCACCAAAGCAAUUGGUGGGAGAGGGUCUUAACCAACCUCCAACACUUUGCUUCUCCUGAAACUGAGAAGGGGUAAGGAAGUAGCUAGGUCCCCUUGGACGGAGCAUGGACGUGAGACCUGUGAGUACUGGUGUCUCUCCUUCAGAGCUUUCAUCUUUGGUUCGCUGUAGACUCGGGGACUAUCAGAAGAGAACUGACUCAUACCUGUCCAGCC